rnacentral:rRNA from 1 species
AUUGAACGCUGGCGGCAGGCCUAACACAUGCAAGUCGAACGAGUGGCGGACGGGUGAGUAAUGUCUGGGAAACUGCCUUAUGGAGGGGGAUAACUACUGGAAACUGUAGCUAAUACCGCAUACCAUCAGAUGUGCCCAGAUGGGAUUAGCUAGUUGGUGGGGUAAAGGCUCACCAAGGCGACGAUCCCUAGCUGGUCUGAGAGGCUGACCAGCCACACGGGAAAUGAGACACGGCCCAGACUCCUACGGGAGGCAGCAGUGGGGAAUAUUGCGCAAUGGGGGCAAGCCUGAUGCAGCCAUGCCGCGUGUAUGAAGAAGGCCUUCGGGUUGUAAAGUACUUUCAGCGGGGAGGCGUUAACUGCAGAAGAAGCACCGGCUAACUCCGUGCCAGCAGCCGCGGUAAUAC